rnacentral:lncRNA from 1 species
GCUGCUUCCCCAAAAAGCCAAGGGUACUUUUAAUGGAAAAUGAUAUUAGAAAUCAAGAUUUGGACAUUUGGGAUGUUGUUGCUUCUAGACACUCUCAGCUGACAGAGCAAGGAAAUAUUUGUGGAUAUGCUAACCUGACUAAAUACGCAUAUCUGCUCCAUACCUACCUAACAUCUAUCUUCUCAAGAACUCUGCCAGGGAAGGAGUAGUUUCUGUGUUUCAUAAACAGACUGAGACUCAAAGAGGCUAAGUAAACUACCUGAAGCCAUAUAUAGCAACACACAAUGACGGAUGUGAGAUUCAAACUUGGAUUUAUCUGGCUCCAAAAUUUCUAGUUUUUUUUUUUUUUUUUUUCCCACUACAGCAAAACUAAGGAGAAGAGACAGAGGUGAAU